rnacentral:rRNA from 1 species
GACGAACGCUGGCGGCGUGCUUAACACAUGCAAGUCGAACGAUGAACCCGGAGCUUGCUCCGGUGGAUUAGUGGCGAACGGGUGAGUAACACGUGAGUAACCUGCCCUUGACUCUGGGAUAACUGCGGGAAACUGUAGCUAAUACCGGAUACGACCCUCGGCGGCAUCGCCAGGGGGUGGAAAGAACUUCGGUCAAGGAUGGACUCGCGGCCUAUCAGCUAGUUGGUGAGGUAACGGCUCACCAAGGCGACGACGGGUAGCCGGCCUGAGAGGGGGACCGGCCACACUGGGACUGAGACACGGCCCAGACUCCUACGGGAGGCAGCAGUGGGGAAUAUUGCACAAUGGGCGCAAGCCUGAUGCAGCAACGCCGCGUGAGGGAUGACGGCCUUCGGGUUGUAAACCUCUUUUAGUAGGGAAGAAGCGAAAGUGAUGGUACCUGCAGAAAAAGCACCGGCUAACUACGUGCCAGCAGCCGCUGUAA